UUACGGUCAUAUCACGUUGUAACACCGGUUCCCGUACGAUAUCCAAAGUUAAGCAACGUCGAGACUAGUCAGUAUCUCACCGAGUGACCGCUUGGGAAUAUCAGGUUCUGUAAG